CGUCCACGGGCGGAGGCGAAAAAUUUUCACUAUGUAAGAAUCAAUAGUACAUCAAAAGAGAAGCUUUUUAAUCUCUCUCUCUUUUUCUCCUUUUAAUUCUUUCUCUCGUGAAAAAUAUAUUAGCAGAAUGAGAGGAAGAAUAUCUCUUGAAAGAAUCAAAAAAGAAGGAAAUCCCGUUGCAUUGCCAAAAGAGAGACCCGCGUGUGGGGAAAGAAAAUCUCGCUGAAAAGAAAAUCCCGCUACAUUGCCAAAAGAGAGGCCCCACCAAAAUCGUGGGCAGAAACGAAAAGGGGAGACUGCUCUGUUGGCCGAGUCAACCUGACAACCAAAAUCGUGGGC
rnacentral:lncRNA from 1 species